GAUGAACGCUGGCGGCGUGCCUAAUACAUGCAAGUCGAGCGAAUGGAUUAAGAGCUUGCUCUUAUGAAGUUAGCGGCGGACGGGUGAGUAACACGUGGGUAACCUGCCCAUAAGACUAGGAUAACUCCGGGAAACCGGGGCUAAUACCGGAUACCAUUUUGAACCGCAUGGUUCGAAAGUGAAAGGCGGCUUCGGCUGUCACUUAUGGAUGGACCCGCUUCGCAUUAGCUAGUUGGUGAGGUAACGGCUCACCACGGCAACGAUGCGUAGCCGACCGGGGAGGGUGAUCGGCCACACUGGGCAUGAGACACGGCCCAGACUCCUACGGGAGGCAGCAGUAGGGAAUCUUCCGCAAUGGACGAAAGUCUGACGGAGCAACGCCGCGUGAGUGAUGAAGGCUUUCGGGUCGUAAAACUCUGUUGUUAGGGAAGAACAAGUGCUAGUUGAAUAAGCUGGCACCUUGACGGUACCUAACCAGAAAGCCACGGCUAACUACGUGCCAGCCGCCGCCGUAA
rnacentral:rRNA from 1 species